rnacentral:rRNA from 1 species
CCUGACGAAGCGACGCCGCGUGUAGAAAGAAGGCCUUCGGGUAGUAAACUUCUGUCAGGAGGGAAGAAACUGUUUUGUCAUAAUACGUCCAUUCACUGACCGUACCUAGAAAGGACGCACCGGUUAACUCCGUGCCAGCAGCCGAUGUAAUGGGGGGGGUGCGAGUUUUAAUUUGAAUCAGUGGGAGUAAAGCGUGGGUGGGCGGCGCACCAAGUCAGAAGAGAAAGCCCUUGGCUCAACCGAGGAAUUGCGUUAGAAACUGGUGUGCUAGAGUGUGGGAGAGGUGAGGGGAAUUCCAGGUGUAGGAGUGAAAUCCGUAGAUAUGGGGAGGAACACCGGGGGGGAAGGCGCCUAACUGGACGAGUACGGACGGUGAGGUAAGAAAGGGGGGGGAGCAAACAGGAUUACAUACCUGGGUAGUCCACUCAAUAAACGAUGGAUGUUGGGUGUGGGGUUUAACCCUUCGGUGCCGCACUAACGCGUUAA